UACGUAGGGUGCGAGCGUUGUCCGGAAUUAUUGGGCGUAAAGAGCUCGUAGGCGGCUUGGUAAGUCGGGUGUGAAACCUCCAGCUCAACCUGGAGACGCCACUCGAUACUGCCAUGGCUAGAGUCCGGUAGGGGCCCAGCGGAAUUCCUGGUGUAGCGGUGAAAUGCGCAGAUAUCAGGAGGAACACCGGUGGCGAAGGCGGUGGCUGGGCCGGAACUGACGCUGGAGGAGCGAAAGCGUGGGGAGCGAACAGG
rnacentral:rRNA from 1 species